rnacentral:rRNA from 1 species
AGACCAAGGGUUCCUGUCCAACGUUAAUCGGGGCAGGGUAAGUCGACUCCUAAGGCGAGGCCGAAAGGCGUAGUCGAUGGGAAACGGGUUAAUAUUCCCGUACUUCUUACAAUUGCGAUGGGGGGACGGAGAAGGCUAGGUGGGCCUGGCGACGGUUGUCCAGGUUCAAGUACGUAGGCGGAAAGUUUAGGUAAAUCCGGACUUUC